GGAAAACAUCACAGAGAUUGUAUUGGAUAAAGCAGUGGGAGGCCUGAAAAAGAGCAACACAUGGCGGCACGCUGCGGCCCCUGGUAGGAGGUCGACUCCACGCGUUUCAUGCGGCUUUGACAGAUUGUGCUGAUCUGGAGGCGGCGCGGUUGGGAUGCGGACGGUGUGACUUCGCCCUUGGGGAGUUGCCUGUAAACCAAGCAUCACCUGUUAAUUAUCGUUCCUCUCAAGUCAAGUUUAGGAAAACACUCGGCACAUGGAGGACGCGGGCGCUGGAUGCCAGAAAUCUCUCCCUCCUUAUGUAGAUGGUAAUUUGAAUGUUGCCCCCUGGUGGACUUAUCGUCCUUGAAGAUCUGCCACCACAGGAACCUUCUCUGCUUAUACCGUAUAAAGCCUUGGGUGUGCUAUAAGUGGUG